rnacentral:rRNA from 1 species
GAUGAACGCUGGCGGCGUGCUUAACACAUGCAAGUCGAACGAAGCAUUUGCGACAGAUUUUUUCGGAAUGAAGUUGCUUAUGACUGAGUGGCGGACGGGUGAGUAACGCGUGGGUAACCUGCCUUGUACUGGGGGAUAGCAGCUGGAAACGGCUGGUAAUACCGCAUAAGCGCACAAUGUUGCAUGACAUGGUGUGAAAAACUCCGGUGGUAUAAGAUGGACCCGCGUCUGAUUAGCUAGUUGGUGAGAUAACAGCCCACCAAGGCGACGAUCAGUAGCCGAACUGAGAGGGUGACCGGCCACAUUGGAACUGAGACACGGCCCAGACGCCGACGGGAGGCAGCAGUGGGGAAUAUUGCACAAUGGAGGAAACUCUGAUGCAGCGACGCCGCGUGAGUGAUGAAGUAAUUCGUUAUGUAAAGCUCUAUCAGCAGGGAAGAUAGUGACGGUACCUGACUAAGAAGCUCCGGCUAAAUACGUG